UCGCCUGUUUAUCAAAAACAUCUCUUUAUGUUUAGUAUUUAUAUAAAGUAUAGCCUGCUCACUGACUAACUAAGUUAAAGAGCCGCGGUAUCCUGACCGUGCGAAGGUAGCAUAAUAAUUAGCCUUUUAAUUGAAGGCUUGUAUGAAUGGUUGGACAAAAAGAAAGCUGUCUCAACUUUAAAAAUUAAAUUUAACUUUUAAGUGAAAAGGCUUAAAUAAUUUAGAGGGACGAUAAGACCCUAUAAAGCUUUACUGGUUGAAAAUUUUAGUAUUAAUUAUUAAGUUUUAACUUACUUAAAUUUUUAUCAGUUUCAUUGGGGCGAUGAAAAUAUAAUAAAUUAACUGUUUUUAAUUUUUUUGAGUUACAAGUAUUGUUGUAGUUAAAUGAUCCUUUAUUAAAGAUUAAAAGUUUAAGUUACUUUAGGGAUAACAGCGUAAUCUACCUUAAGAGUCCAAAUCGACAGGAAGGUAUUGCGACCUCGAUGUUGAAUUAAAAUUCCUUUCUAAUGUAGCCGUUAGAAUUAGGAGGUCUGUUCGACCUUUAAAAUUUUACAUGAUCUGAGUUCAAACCGGGU
rnacentral:rRNA from 1 species